UACGUAGGUGGCAAGCGUUGUCCGGAUUUAUUGGGCGUAAAGCGCGCGCAGGCGGUCCUUUAAGUCUGAUGUGAAAUCUUGCGGCUCAACCGCAAGCGGUCAUUGGAAACUGGGGGACUUGAGUACAGAAGAGGAAAGCGGAAUUCCACGUGUAGCGGUGAAAUGCGCAGAUAUCAGGAGGAACACCAAGUGCGAAGGCAGCUCGCUGGGACGUAACUGACGCUGAGACGCGAAAGCGUGGGGAGCAAACAGG
rnacentral:rRNA from 1 species